GACAGAGGUGCCGAGCGUUAGGCGGAAUCACUGGGCGUAAAGGGUGCGUAGGCGGGUCUUUAAGUCAGGGGUGAAAUCCUGGAGCUCAACUCCAGAACUGCCUUUGAUACUGAAGAUCUUGAGUUCGGGAGAGGUGAGUGGAACUGCGAGUGUAGAGGUGAAAUUCGUAGAUAUUCGCAAGAACACCAGUGGCGAAGGCGGCUCACUGGCUCGUAUCUGACGCUCAGGCGCGAUAGCGUGGGGAUCAAACAGG
rnacentral:rRNA from 1 species